rnacentral:rRNA from 1 species
UGAGGAAUAUUGGUCAAUGGACGUAAGUCUGAACCAGCCAAGUAGCGUGCAGGAAGACGGCCCUAUGGGUUGUAAACUGCUUUUGUAUGGGGAUAAAGUCAAUCACGUGUGAUUGUUUGCAGGUACCAUACGAAUAAGGACCGGCUAAUUCCGUGCCAGCAGCCGCGGUAAUACGGAAGGUUCGGGCGUUAUCCGGAUUUAUUGGGUUUAAAGGGAGCGUAGGCCGGAGAUUAAGUGUGUUGUGAAAUGUAGACGCUCAACGUCUGACUUGCAGCGCAUACUGGUUUCCUUGAGUACGCACAACGUUGGCGGAAUUCGUCGUGUAGCGGUGAAAUGCUUAGAUAUGACGAAGAACUCCGAUUGCGAAGGCAGCUGACGGGAGCGCAACUGACGCUGAAGCUCGAAGGUGCGGGUAUCGAACAGGAUUAGAUACCCUGGUAGUCCGCACAGUAAACGAUGGAUGCCCGCUGUUGGUACCUAGUAUCAGCGGCUAAGCGAAAGCAUUAAGCAUCCCACCUGGGGAGUACGCCGGCAACGGUG